rnacentral:lncRNA from 1 species
AUAUUUUGCCUGCCAGUAAUGAUUUAUAGCUAUCGUAUGUUUGCAGUAAAAUAAUACUUAUAUAGAUGAAACAAUUCUAAUCAGAAUAAAAAAAAAUAAUCAGAUUCGAGUUCAUACAAUCCUAAUAGGUCUCGUGUUAACCAUUAAAUUUUUGGGCCAAUAAUUAUAGUUCAAAUAUACAAUAGGCCCAUUCAUACAUGUAAGUUGGUUGCCUCAUGAAAGCCCAUACAAAUAAAAGAAAAAGGGGGGGCCUCAUUCCAGCCCAUUAAAUAUUAUUAUUUGGGCCUAAUAAAUUAAAGCGGGCCUGAUCAACGACGGCCCACAUCCACAUCAUAUAAAAUAUCUGUUCGAAAUUCGAUUUCAAAUUACAACCCAUUCAAAAUUUGAUUUUUGAAUUUCGAAUUUCGAAUUUCCAACCAAUUCCCAAAAUAUCAUCCAACAAUCCAUUCGAAAUUAGAUUUUGAAUUUCGAAUUCCCAACCAAUUCCCAAAACAUCAUCCAACAACCUAUUCGAAAUUCGAUUUCGGAUUUCGAAUUCCCAAUUAAUUCCCAAAAUAUUAUCCAACAACCCAUUCGAAAUUCGAUUUCGAAUUUCGAAUUCCCAACCAAUUCCCAAAAUAUCAUCCAACAACCCAUUCGAAAUUCGAUUUCGAAUUUCGAAUUCCCAACUAAUUCCCAAAACAUCCUCCAACAACCCAUUCAAAAUUUGAUUUCAAAUUUCGAAUCAAUUCUCAAAAUACCCUCCAACCAUCCAACAACCCAUUCAAAAUUCGAUUUCGAAUUUUGAAUUCCCUAACCAAUUCCCAAAAUAUCAUCCAACAACCCAUUCGAAAUUCGAUUUCGAAUUUCGAAUUUCCAACCAAUUCCCAAAACAUCCUCCAACAACCCAUUCAAAAUUUGAUUUCAAAUUUUGAAUCAAUCCUCAAAAUACCCUCCAACUAUCCAACAACUCAUUCAAAAUUCGAUUUUGAAUUUUGAAUUUCCAACCAAUCCCAAAUAUCUUUCAACCAACCACAACAACCUAUUCAAAAUUUAAUUUUGAAUUUCGAAUCCCUCAAAAUAUCUCUCACCACCCCUCCCAUUAUAAAUACGAGAAUCGAGAUCAAUACGGGA